rnacentral:rRNA from 1 species
AGUGAACGCUGGCGGUAGGCCUAACACAUGCAAGUCGAACGGCAGCACAGUAAGAGCUUGCUCUUACGGGUGGCGAGUGGCGGACGGGUGAAGAAUACAUCGGAAUCUACUUUUUCGUGGGGGAUAACGUAGGGAAACUUACGCUAAUACCGCAUACGACCUACGGGUGAAAGCAGGGGAUCUUCGGACCUUCGCGAUUGAAUGAGCCGAUGUCGGAUUAGCUAGUUGGCGGGGUAAAGGCCCACCAAGGCGACGAUCCGUAGCUGGUCUGAGAGGAUGAUCAGCCACACUGGAACUGAGACACGGUCCAGACUCCUACGGGAGGCAGCAGUGGGGAAUAUUGGACAAUGGGCGCAAGCCUGAUCCAGCCAUACCGCGUGGGUGAAGAAGGCCUUCGGGUUGUAAAGCCCUUUUGUUGGGAAAGAAAAGCAGCAGGCUAAUACCCCGCUGUUCUGACGGUACCCAAAGAAUAAGCACCGGCUAACUUCGUG